UCCGAUGGUGAACCUGCGGAGGGAUCAUUACAGAGUUCUAAAAGACUCCCAAAACCAUUGUGAACGUACCCGUCAGCGUUGCCUCGGCGGGCGGCCCCUCCCUGGGGCCGCUGCCUCCCUCGGGGGGUGCCCGCCGGCGUACCAAAACUCUUUUGUAUUUUAGUGGCCUCUCUGAGAAAACAAGCAAAUAAGUUAAAACUUUCAACAACGGAUCUCUUGGUUCUGGCAUCGAUGAAGAACGCAGCGAAAUGCGAUAAGUAAUGUGAAUUGCAGAAUUCAGUGAAUCAUCGAAUCUUUGAACGCACAUUGCGCCCGCCAGUACUCUGGCGGGCAUGCCUGUUCGAGCGUCAUUUCAACCCUCAAGCCCUGCUUGGUGUUGGGGUCCUACGGCUGCCGUAGGCCCUGAAAGCUAGUGGCGGGCUCGCUAUAACUCCGAGCGUAGUAGUAAAAUAUCUCGCUAGGGAGGUGUCGCGGGUUCCGGCCGUGAAAGCCCAUCUUUUACACAAGGUUGACCUCGGAUCA
rnacentral:rRNA from 1 species